AGGAGAGGAGAAUGAACUAACUUUAUUAUUAACUAGUGUCUAGUAGAUUCCUAGCAGAAUUCCUAAGAGGAGUUCUAGUUGGUGGGUUCUAGGCAGACAUGUUCAUCCUGCAGCCCAUGGGCCACAUCGGACCCAUAUAACUGUGAAUUAUAAACUUACUUAAAGCAUGAGAUUAUUCUUAAAAGUUUUUUUCAAUUGGGUAAUUCUUAAAUAUGAGCUUUCUGUAUAAAUAUGUUGUGUUCUAAUAUCAGAAUGUUGGACACACCUAGUAGGGAAAGCCAUAGUGAGUUCCAUGAGGACGUAAUUUUGUCUCUGAGGGGGUCACUGCAGCAUACCUGAGACACACAUGAGGCAUGCGGUCAGUGGACAGCAAGUGUAUUGUGGGCAGCUGUCUUAUAGGUUGAACAGGGCAACUACCCAGUUGAUCCCUUUGGGGAACCAAGCAAAGAACUGGAAACUGUCGAAAUGAGUGUUGUUUCUAGAAUCACAAAGGCUAAUUUAUACUCAAAACAAUACUGAGGCAAUGACAACCUGAAAGAACUCGAGACAGCCAUGACUUCCAAUAUGUAAAGACUUACUUUAUUUCUUUCAAAUGACAUACAUAUGUGUCCCUGUGUGUUGGUGUGUACACACAUGUGUGAGUGCAGGUGCAUGUAGGGAUUGGAUACUCAGGAGUUACAGGCAGAUGUGAGCUCCUGGUGUGGACACCAGGAACAGAACUCUGGUCCCCUGUAAGAGUUGAAGCACUCUCAACCGCUAAACCAUCUCCAUCUCCCAUAAUAUAAAGUUUAAAGUGCACAUGCACCCUCUGAGGAAGUCCCGCCAUGACUAGCCGGUUCCUUUCACCUGCUCCGCUAGCCUUGUCUCACUGCGCUGGCUUGGACCCCAUUAACAGUAUGCAGUCCAUCUUCCACCCUGGAGCUCGGCCUGCAAAUGGGUACUCAGAGUUAGUGGAGAUGAAAAGUAGGGUCAGGCUCCAUCCUGGUGUUAAUUAGCUAUGAAUCAUCGUGAGUGAUGGAUUAACUGAUUCACGAUUUUCAUAAAUUUGUCAGCUCUUCAGUUAAUGAAGAGCCUCGUGUGGCACCCUUUGACCUCUAUCUUCCUGUUGCUGGAUUAGCUGGCCUCCUCUGCACAUUGCAGGCUUGGCUGUGCGAGGUACGACAGCUGCUCAGAUUUGGAACUUGCUGUGCCUGGAAUAGAAGGCAGAGAGUGUUGGGAACCCAGUGAUGCAGACAGGAAGCCGGUGAAUUAAUGACACAUACGUACUUCCGUCACACAGAAAGGUACCCGGUAUCUUGCAUCAAGGUAAUGGCUUUGAAGACUUAACCUAUGUCCUUCCUCUCUGUCUCUGCAGCCCCCCUCACUCCUUCAUUCCUCCUGGUUCUUCCCUUUCUGAAAGCAGUCAGGCUAUCCGGCUGUUUGUUGCCUCGGGGGACAGAUGUAGUAGGGUUGAAAGCCAGCAUCGGGCCUGGCCUAUUUUGCUGACUUAUCCUUGUUUCAAAGGUCUGUGCCCACAGGGAGAAAUGUCAGGCAUUAGACUUGUCCCCUACAGCCCACCCUUACCUUCAAAUCUCUAUGACAAUUCCUUGAGGUUAAGAAAGGAGGAAAGACACUGGGAUGAUCUCAUGCAGAGAAGGGGCUUCUGCCUCCUCCCUUCAGGGGCAGGCUGACAGGGCUUCAUCCAAGACUUCCAUGCUCCAGGGUGUUCCUGGCCAGACCCCAAUGAGAUGGAAAGAAAAUUAAGGAGACAUGGGAAAGGAAGGAUCCAUUCAAUCUGAAGACUCCUCUGACCAGCUGCCAAUCAAUAACUCCAGUGUAAUUAACAUUUGCCUCAGACAUGGUAUCCCCUUUAUAUGAGGAAGAAUAUUAAAGUAGCAGUGACCCACACUUAGACCCUGUGGCCUUUUUCCUUCUCAAGGUAUUUUCUGGGACUCUCAACAGACAAGACAAAAACUUUUGUUUACAGUAAAGAUAUCUUAGCUUCUUCCCAUGUGAGCCUUGUGAGCUGGGGUUUCACCUCAUCGGUUAUCCUAUAGGGCACUAGGGAAUACCCCAGGGCCUCUUCCUUAGUCCCUUUAAGAUAAAGCAUUAAGGCAGAGCUGUUUCCAAGAUGGAUGCCAGAGGCCUUGGGUCGCAGCUGAAGGACAGGAUUCCAGUUGCAGAACUCUCAGCCAGUGGACCCUUUGAGAGUCAUGAUCUUCUCCGGAAAGGGUUUUCUUGUGUGCAAAGUGAACUUUUGCCCAGUCACCCUCUUGAAUUAUUCAAGAAAAAAAUUUCCAGCUCAACCAGGACAAGAUGAACUUUUCCACCCUGAGGAACAUCCAGGGUGUGUUUGCUCCCCUGAAGUGACAGAUGGAGUUCAAGGCAGUGCAACAGGUUCAGCGUCUUCCGUUUCUUCCGAGCUCAAACCUCUUGCUGGAUAUUUUGAGGGGCAACGAUGAGACCACUGGUUUUGAGGAUAUUCUUAAGGAUCCAUCACAGAGUGAACUGAUGGGCGAGCCUCACUUGAUGGAAUAUAAGCUGGGCUUGCUGUGAUGCAGGGCGCCGUGCAGGAACCACGGAUGCGCUUCUCGUAGUUGCCUCUGCUGCAGUCUGAUGUUCACAGCAUUAAAGUACUGAGAGGAAAAAAAAAGGAUAAAACAUUAAGAGCCAUCACAAGGGCACACAUAACAAAGCAGGACUCUUCUUGCAGAAGCCUAAUACACAACGCUUCAGAUCUCUAUUAAAAUCUCUUCUAGUAAAAGCCAGCACUGCUUCUUACUGCCACAUCCUGGAAGUCCUCUUCUGUGACACGCUAAGGAUCCAGAUUUACCUUAGUCAAGAUCCCUAAAGGCUGCCACAGGUGACAGUGCAGUGUCUUCUUACCUGCAGCUGCAGUUGAGUUCUGGAGACUGGAGAUUUCCAGCAGUCAGUAGCUCGCGAUGUCUCCGAGACCUAAGAACCAAUGCUUGCCAUAGCAGACUCCUGCACGGCUAGAGAGUAUCAAAGAACAGAGUGGCAGCCACUUACUGAUAUCGCUGCAUGUAAAUGUCCCACCUCAGAAAUAUGGAGCUGCAGGAUCUGGGUAAAUAAACUUGCAGUCGUUCCAGACAGAAUUGAGCUGCGGUGAGUUUCAGGGCCAAGUUCUAUAUGGUCACUACAUCCCCAGCACCUCCAUUAAGACAGCAACAGUCAGUAGCCACACAUGACCACUGGGCCCCUGUUUUCCUCAACAUGGCCCAGGAUGCCUCUAUUGGGGUUCAUGUGUUUUUUUGUGUUGCAGACAGGAAUAUGGGGAAAUGAAGCCUGUGCUCUGUGUCUUGCCUCUCGAGCACUCAAAUUCCAAACUCUGAAGGCAUGUUUGGUUGCAAGUGACUAGAAAACAAUCUGAACAUGUUUACACAAUGAAGAAAGCAUCAUUCUAAAGGCCUGGAAUGUGGACCCAAACCUAAAACACAGGCAGAGGCAGGGCCUUGAAGACACCCAACCCCUCUCUCAUCUUUGUUCUCAUCGUGGAAUCUCUUGAUUGCUGAAGUCUGGUUUCUUGGCGCAGCUCCCAGUAUUCUGGAAUUUGAUGUAUGACGUUGAGUCUUUGUAAGGAUGAUGUUGCGGUCACCUGCAUCAUCAGAUCUGUCCUAGCUAGACUCACAGGAUCAGGGUCUCUGGCAAAGUGACCUGGGAAAAGGAAUUUUGAAAGGACUUCUAAACUUCCUCAUAAUUAUCUGCUCUAAAGUGUGAGAUCUGAGUGGCAGCUUCAGACAAAUGCCAGUGGUCUCUUAGCAGGCUCUCCCACCUUUUAGGGGAGACAGAGGAGAGAAGCCAAGGAUUUCCCCAGACACCACAAGACACAGGUGGGUCCUUCUGGCAGGGUGCCUGGGCACCACCAUAGUGUUUAUGUAAAUGAAACAACUGGUUCCCACCUUAGCUGAGCCAGGGCCUUCUGUCACCUUAACAAGCUGUGCUCACUAACUCAAGAAAACUGCAUUUGCUUCAUAAUUACCGGUGAACCCACCAGAUAAUCUCAGACUUUGGCCUUGGCUGAUUCUAUGCCCAUUCACAGGGCAGAAAGCUGGUCUGAAAUCUUCCUUAAGGUCCCCAUAGUUCAUCUACAGGUGGUCUAUUGGGUCAUUUCUGUGAGGGCCAAAAUGGAUGCCUACAAUAUGUCCUCUGGGUGCUGGGCUAACAUCCCCUCUAUGAUGACUUUCUAUUCAGUUGAAGAGGGCAGAUGGUUAGCAGCAGAUCAACCACUAACAGUUGUUGCAUCUCUAAGGAUUCUUUUGAGGUAUUCUUCCCUCUUCUUCUCCUUCUAGAAAAUGUGCAGACACUAUGAGUGCUAAUGAGGAUCCAGCUAGCCUACUUACUGGACAUAGACACAGUCAUGCUCGGAAUCUGGUAAUGGCAUCAUAGACUAUUCAUGGGAGAAAUGUGAGCAGGGAAGACAGCCGGGCCAACACCAUGAAUGCUUGCAUGCAUAAAUAACUGGGAACAUGCACCCCAGUCUGUCACUUGUGAAUCUGUUGACACAUUCACCUUCACCACAGCUGAGGCUCUAAGCAUAUGCCUUGUGCUCAGGGUCUCUCUAGGUCUCAGGUGCUGUGUGCCUCUCCGGCUUUGGCUCCUCGGUGCUGGAGACACUCACAGGCCCAUUGGAAGAGGCAAUCAAAGUAACAGAGAAUGGAAAACCUGCCAGGUGGAUUUGAUGCCAAGAGAGACGCCCGAAGGCCAUCACAGUUACGGGAAGAUGAGAACCCAUCUCAUAGUAUUCAAAUGUCCCCUUCCAAGAGUCUCCCAGUUUAUUCACACAAAAGACCUUUUCACCCAACAGGAAGAAGUUCCUGCAAACUCUGCUUUUCUGAGACAAGACAGCCUGGUGCCCAAUGCCUGGGUUUUGGAAUCAGGCCAGCAUGAGCUGUAAUCCCAAGUCUACUCUUCAUAGGAGUUAAUUUUAGUCUCUUGCCUUUCUGUGUUCUUAGCCUUUGACCUGAACCUUUAACCUCAAACCUGAAACUUUAACCUUCAAUGAAGCAUAAAACCCAUUCACAUUAAAAUAGGAAAAAAAAUGGCAGCGUAUUCAUACACCAGGAGUUCUAGAGCUGGGAGGACGAGAAAUCUGCAACACACAAAUUGCAACUGUGCACGGUAAUACAGGUGAGCCUCAGACACUAGCGCUGAGUGACAGGCCAGACACGAGAGUGUACAUAAUGUACACAGCAUGUGUGCACAGUGAAAGUGUACACUGGGGUGUGUGCAGAGUGAAAAUGUACACUGGGGUGCGCACAGAGUGAAAGCAUGCACUUGUGUGUGCAAAGUGAAAGUGUACACCAGUGUGUGUGCGAGCACAGUGAAAGUGUACACUGGGGUGUGUGCAGAGUGAAAGUAUACACUUGUGUGUGCAAAGUGAAAGUGUACAACAGUCUGUGUGCAAAGUGAAAGUGUAUACUGCCAUAUAUGCAGAGUGAAAAUGUACACUGGGGUGUGCACAGAGUGAAAGCAUGCACUUGUGUGUGCAAAGUGAAAGUGUACACCAGUGUGUGUGCACAGUGAAAGUGUACACUGAGGUGUGUAUAGGGUAAAAGUGUACACCAGCAUGUGUGCUGAGUGAAAGUGUACACCACACCAGCAUGUGUCCAGGGUAAAAGUGUACACGAGUAUGUGUGCAAAGUGAAAACUGUGGGAACCAAACCUGCAUUGUCAUAAGCUGAGGUGCGGGUUACCUAAUGUGGGGAGAGGGGAUGGAAGUGUGGCUGUGAGACAGGAGUUAGCGCCUCUUAGACCAGAGAUUCUUUCUGUGGGUCAAGACCCCUUUGGGAGUCAAACAACCUUUUCACAGGUAUUGCUUAAGACCACCAGAGCAAAUGUAAUAUAAAUAUAGACAUUUUCAUUACAAUUCAUAAUACUUGCAAGAUUACAGUUAUGAAAUAGUAAUGAAAAUAAUCUUGCAGUUGGGGGUCAUACAACAUGAGGAACUGUAUUAAAGUGUCGGGGCAUUAGGAAGGUUCAGAACCACUGCCUUAGACAGUAGAGCGGGGUCAAUAGUGGAUCAUCAUCUAGUCAAAAAGCACACCUGACCCUUCUGAUGAAUAAGCCAGUAACUCUGAUUAAACCAAAGGCAUAUGCAUAGGGUGUCUGGACUCCUUACUGGCUUGGCCUUCCCAUGGGUUUAAAAGUGACCAAUCCCAGUGAAAAUCACCUCAGUCCUCAUCCAGUUCCUGCCAUAAUACACAAUACACACACACACACACACACACACACACACACACACACACACACACACGUGCGAGCACACACCCUGUCAGGGCAACAUGGCUGUCUUCAUCCUCUGUAGUUAUCCAUUCAGCCCCUUCUGAAACUCUAGGAACCCUUUCUUGCUUCUCAGAUAUGAGCCAAUGAACUUAGAAGCCACUGGCUUCCGGUGGCUUUAGCGGUGGCUGAGUUUCUGGGACUAUAGCCCCUGAGUUAAACCGGCCAAGAGCCAUGAACAGUUCUGUAGUACUCACCCCACACCACGGGGCCACCCACAUCCUAUUGGUUUCUUCUGAGUGGUGGUUUCUUAGGUGUGUCUAGUUUGUGCAAUUCACAGAAUUAGGUCUUUAAAAAAUUGUGUCAGUUUCUAUAGAAAUGUUACUCUUCAGGAAGGUUUUAAUUAGAUCUUAGUACUAACCAAGAAAAAUGUGGGGAUUGAUAGGUCAGUAUAUGUGUCAACUACUUACUACUGGCACCAUUUUUACUGUCCUGUGUGGGUAUUGGCAAUAGGUACAGUUCCUUCUCCAAAGACCUGUCCCAUCUGGGUAUAGAUCGAAGCUCAGAUUUUAUAUAAGAAGGUAUAUAAAGGGCCUGGGAUUUUAAUCAGAGGCAAACUCCUGAGUAUCCAUCCCUUUUCAGAGUCUUAUUUAGUGGGAGGAAUAGAGGAGGGUAAAUUUAUCUGUGAGCAUCUAGAUUUGAGAUGAGAUAGAUCUCCAAGGAUGAUUUUCCCUUAAAAAACCACUAAUAAGAAAACAAAACCCACCCCGUGUCCCUUCACGAGUAUGUAAAAAUAACUUGGCCGGCCAGUUUCUGCUGUCCUUAACUCAUUUAUCCCCCUGCUAGCUUUCUCUUUGGGUAAAAAUAGCAACUCAAUCUAUUGACAGACAAGGGCUUUGCACAGUCGGAACUCCAUUUGGAGCUCUUCAUUGCGGAUUCUCUAAUACAGAUGUUUGGGGCAUGAUGACUCCAAACCAUCCUCCUGUCAGCUCCGCAGAGAAGACAAACAGAAGCCUGAUCUUGAAACCAGGGCCUCUCCAUAAACCAGCUGACACGGCACAGUGAUACUUGACCCCACAUAAAGGUCGGAAUAAACAAGCCUUACUGGUCAGCAUGCUGCUGUGACAGACUUAAAUAUAGCCUCGUGCUUUCUGUCCCCCUCACACGUCUGCAGCUUUCACACAAAGCAAAGCCUCAGUUCACAGAACGUAAGGAGUGUGAGCAGAGGGGAGAAGCCUCUCUCUCUCUAUGCCAUGGUUUAUCUGCCCUGACGGAGCCACGGUGUGAGGGCAUUAAACAGCGGGCCGCAUGCAGUGGGCCCUGAUGUUGAAGGCCGGGUCCUCAGAACUGCAGUCUCUAUGGCAGAGUCAGCAUUAAGAUCUUGGAGGGAAAAACUGUGGUUGUAAUCUUGACCCACCAGAUCUGCUCCAGCUGGCUUUCCAUCUACCUCCUCCCUCCACUGCGUCUCGUGUGGGAAUACCUCGUGUGACUGCUUGGCCAGCUUUUUGCCGAUCGACCCUGUUUCUUCUUCUACCCCUUGAUCAGACUUUCUGGAGCACAACCCCAGCUCCGUGACGUGGACUGCACCCCUUAACCUUUCUUAGCUCGAGACUGCAUGUCUAUAAAACAAGGAACACAGCGGACUCGCCUAGGGCUCUUAUCGGGAUAAGAUGUGCUAAUAUACACAGGAGUUCUGAAAACCGUGUUUGGCCAGAUUGCCGGAAGCACUCAGCAAAUGACAGUGAUUAUUCAGUGUCUUUCUGAAUUAUUCAGCUCUUCUGUCCGCAUGGAUGUAGUCACUCAUCCCGUGUCAACUGGGGAGGAAAACGCACAGUCCAGGGGCUUCAGAGAGAUGACCUGGAUUUGGUGAAUUUUAAUAGAGGUUGAGUUCCUGAAUUACAGGUAGACUUUAAAGACUAGUGUUUUCUUCAACAGAACUGCUGAUGUUGACAUUUUGGGUCCUGGUAUUUAUGGUAGCGAGGGCUGCCCUAGGUAGGGUAGUUAAUAUUGCUGUUGGCUUAUCUCCAUUAGCUGUUAGUAUGAACCCCAUCCUAAAUCACGACUCAGAAUGUCUUCAGAAAUUGUCAAAUGUCUCCUGGGGACAAAAGUGUCCCUUGCCAAGAGCCACUGGGCUGUGCUAAGACUCUUCCCUAGACCUAGAGCAGCGAGACGUGAGUGAAUUAUGGAAAGAGGAGGAACAGGGAGCUGCCCAAAGGGCCUUCUUUAAUUGCUAGUCCAAGUUCUAUUAUUAGGGAGAAUAUUCAAAAUAGCAGCUUUUUAAAAAUGAGAGGCUGAUUUGGGCUCUCGGCUUGGAGGUUUUGGUGAGCGAGUAGUCUCAUUGAUUUUUGCUUCUGGUGAGACAGCACACUGUGAUCGUAGGGAUGGGAGAUGGGAAUGGAGGAAGGUACCUCCCUCACAGCAAGGAAUCAAAAGGGGGAGGCGAAAGGAAGGGUCCCAAUAUCCCUUUCAUAUGCAUGCACACUCCCUCACCCCUCAAUGAUAUAACUUCCUCCCAUUACAUGACUUCCAGCAGAUUUCACCCCACCCCCAGGAAUGCCAGAGGCUGGAAUCAAUCCCCAACACAUGAGGGUUGGAAUCCGUUAUCCAAACCAUAGCUCCUGCCUUCUUUACACGCCUCCUGACAGCAGGAGUGGAAGGCUAGCUUCCUCCUUCACUGACCUGGGGGUGCUUCCUUUUUCUUCGUGUGUGUGUGUGUGUGUGUGUGUGUGUGUCCCCAAGAGUGCGUGGGUACCCCAUCUGUGCAGAUGCUGGUGGAGACCAGCAAGUUUACUUAUAAAGCAACUGCUUCCUAAGCAUUUCCACUUCACACAAGUGUGUGACAAAAGCUAUACCAGAGGAAAGGUCUCCAUUGUCACAGGCUGCAAAAUACGACUGGAUCUCUAACUGUCCUCUGCCCUUAGAUCAAGUCUGAUCAAGUCACAACAUUGGUAACCACAGUGAACCCAUGACUUUCGGUUUGGCCUUCAUUUUAUUAUAUUCAUAAGGAUUUCAUUUCUGUACAUCUAUUUUCCAUUUUCACAGUUAUUUUUAUAAAAUCAUGGGGGCCAAACUGUAAUAAAGAAUUUCCAGUGAUCACAGAAACAGCCAUUGGCUGGCGGUGGGUACCACCUUGAAAUGUUCAAAAAUGUCACUCUUCAGCUGACUUCUUAAGGUCUCAUCUUGACAUAUAGAAACUGGUCAAGAGGUAUCAACCUGAACGUGUGUGUGGACAAAAUAAACAUGCAGAGAUCUGGGAGUUAUGAAAGUUGAAAGUAAUUUUGAGGAACUGAGUUUUCAAAAGACUUACAAGGCAUUAUGUCACGGCAUAUAUAUAUAUAUAUAUAUACUGUAUCGCAUACUGUACCAACUGAUCUGCAGCCCCAGCCGACUUUCUUUUAAAAAACUAAACUAUAACUAUUUCAAAGGAAGUAGAAUUUUCAAAAGUUUCCUUAGCGUUCCCUGUCAUCAUCCCUAUAAAUACACAUUUGGUAAUUUCUAACUUAAUGGCUAGUGGGUGAAAUGCAGUUAAUAGUUUCUUUUGAACAAGAACACCAGGCUGAAGGAUAUUUUUGUACAUUUUUAGAUAAAAAUAUUCUUCAUACUUGGUUAUGGGAUACUAUGUGUGUUACAUAUAUGAAUAGAAAUAAAUCUGUGCAGGUAUGAAUCGGUCGACAUGUAUAGAUGAAUGCAGAGUCUAUCUCUAUGGUUCCAUGUGAAAUAUAAACUUAUUCAGUACUUGUUAGUCCUCCUUUGGGCCACCUUUUUUUUUUUUUUUUUGAUGGUUGGUACACAUGAUGCAAAUGGCCUGUCCACUAGGCUUUCCUACCCCUUGACCCUACUGUGUUCCAGUCUUGCCCAGGAUGUUGGUGUCCUUCAGGAGGCUAGCAUUCCUGAGACCCGGAAGCCCUAUUCUGGAGCAGCGUGUGGCAAGGUGGGGAAGACACAGUGAGGAUAGCCUGUGGCAACAAAGACGCCAUGUAGGCUGGACCCAGGCCCCCAUUUGGUCCAGUCUGGCCAUGAGCAUCAAAUAGACCCCACAAUGAUUUUCUUUUUCUACUUGCCAUGCCCUGAGAAAGGACUGAACAGCAUUGAUAGGAAACCAGUCCACUGCCCUCCCUUUCCCUGUAUCUCCUUCGACCUUUUCUUGAGUUCUUGAAGUGUCCUUCAAGCUGCUAUGGAUGACCAUUGGCAGUAAAGAAGACCGGGUUAAUUUUUCCCAGUGGUUUCUUCUUGUUGGCUGGAGAGAAGAAUGACAUCGACUAUUCAGGGCUCCUGGGAAGCCAAGUCGACUGGAUGCCAUAGGGGAAGUUUAGAACCACUAGGGCUGGUCAGCAAGGAAGGGGGCUGUAGCUGAGCUCAUACUUCUAGCUGGAAGGAGCAGGGGCACGUGCUCCAUCAGAGGCAUGUUGAACUAGGUUCAUGGAGGUGGGCAGAGGGGCUGGAGGCCUCCAGUUGGUAUUCCUCAGAGUUGUCAUCUGAGGUUGGUGUUAGGGUUUGUAUAUGCUUGGCCCAGGAAGUGGCACUAUUAGAAGGUAUGGCGCUGUGGGAGUAGGUGUGGCCUUGUUGGAGUGGGUGUGGCCCUGUUGGAGUAGGUGUGGCCCUGUUGGAGUGGGUGUGGCCCUGUUGGAGUAGGUGUGGCCCUGUUGGAGUGGGUGUGGCCCUGUUGGAGUAGGUGUGUCACUGUGAGUGUGGGCUUUAAGACCCUCAUCCUAGGGGCUGGGGAUUUAGCUCAGUGGUAGAGCGCUUACCUAGGAAGCGCAAGGCCCUGGGUUCGGUCCCCAGCUCCGAAAAAAAGAACCAAAAAAAAAAAAAAAGACCCUCAUCCUAGCAGCCUGGAAGUCAGUAUUCUGCUAACAGCCUCCAGAGGAAGAUGUAGAACUCUCAGCUCUGCCCGCACUUCGCCUGCCUGGAUGCUGCCAUGUUCCUGCCUUGAUGAUAAUGGACUGAACCUCUGAACCUGUAAGCCAGCCCCAAUUAAAUGUUGUUGUCAUAAGAGUUGCCUUGGUCAUGGCGUCUGUUCACAGAGGUAAAACCCUAACUAAGACAGUUGGCAUCGGUAAAGAGCACAAUGUGCUCAGACUGGGAGGGGAAGGUUGGUUUUCCACUUUCAAGGAACUCUAAAAAGGACUUUGAGUUAUAUUGGCUUUCCUUGCAAAGGCUGCUAAAUUUAAACAUCAUUGAAUACCCGAGUGUGGGGAGAAACUUCAUUAUUUUUAAAGUUGCAUUUCAAAGUACUCGUAUCGCACAAAAUAUCGUUUCCAUAGGACCUGUUGGUACAUGGACACGACAUCCUUGUUCAUAUCCUCUCUCUCCCUCCACUGAUCUCAUUUCCAAGACAGCUCCCCUUCUACCUUCAAACACAACAAACAAAAAACAAACAAACAAACAAACAAACAAACUAAAGCCCCCUUGAGUUCCGCAUCUUAGAGUAAGCAUAUGAUAUCUGCCUUUCUAGGUGUGGCUCAUUUCUCCUAACAUGAUGUCUUCUAGUUCUAUACAUUCUCCCCUUCCCCCACCCUGGAAACGACAGUUUUGCUCUUUACAACUAAAUGAAACUCCAUUGGGCUCAUAUACCAAGUUUUUCUUAGCCACUGGCCUGUGGAUGGGCUGCCAGAUCGUCCACUACUUUGUUCUGGAACCCUGAGUAGGGCUGAUGAGAUAGUAAGGAAAAGACAGACACACAGACAGAGAAGCUGCGUGCAUUCUGAUGGAGCCGCACCAACUACCAAACAACAUCCGGGAACCUCAACCUGUUUAUUAAGGGGAGGAGUUGGCUAAUCCCGUGGUCAAAUGGUCUCAGGAAGCUACGGUUGCUAGUUUGUGCACACACCGGUCAGUCAUCCCUAAACAGUUGUGUUUGGGCCAGAGGAAAGCUUUGCCUCUCUGAGUCUGGUUGAAGGAGGUGAAAGCUUUGAAGUUUAACUUGAGUCAGAGGUUUUGGUCUCUAACAUGGCCAGCCCAUGUCAAAUACAUAUUCAUUCAGAGCUUCACUCGAUGGGGACUUCACCCACAGCCUACAAUGGACACCGAGGCUGAGUCUAUAACAUGGUAACUGUAAACAGCGCCACAGGCAAUGCAGCAGCGCAAUGGCUAUUCCUGGUUGUCAACUUCACCAUAUCUGGGAUGAACUACAAUCUAGAAUUAGAGGAGGACUCACCUGUGAUCCAGAUCUCGAGGCUGGAAGACACGUUUCUAACCUGGAUCUUGGCAUGGAGAUCUUAAGGCAGAGUGGCCAUGAAAAGCUUAGGCCCAGGCAAGGCAGUGCAAACUUUUAAGUCCAGGUGACUGAAACAAGGAGAUCUCUGAAUUCCAGGUCAGCCUGGGACAAAGCAAGUCCCAGAUCCAGGCGUUGGUGGUGCACACCUUUAAUCCGGGCCACACCCUCUGCAGGUGGCCUACAUUAGGACAUUGGAAGAAGGAAGAUUUGCUCUUCUUCUGCUUGCAUUUGCUUGCCAGCACAUCUGUUGGAACCUACUUCUGCAGAAGAGCAGCUGAAACAACUAGCCUCGUGGGACUGAGCCACUACUAGACUCUUGCACUUCCCAUCCACAGCUGCCCAUUGUUGGGAUAGUUGGACUACAGACUGUAAGUCAUCACAAUAAAUGCCCUCAUUCUAGAGAGACAGUUCAUAAGUUCUGUGACUCUAGAGAACCCUGACUAAUAAAAGCAGUGUAAGCGUGUUUGUGGUCAGCUGACUUAGAAUUACAUCCGGGAGUAGGACAGCUGGAUCAAUGGUAACUGGACUCAAUUAUACCCUCAUCUGCAGUGUAUAAGGGUUCCUUUCUCCCUGUAUCAACACCGUGUGCAGGAGAUACUUUUAGAAGCAAUGAAAACCAAGGAGUCAACCCACUCUAAGGAGGAACAAAAGAGAAAGGCAUUUUUAGAUGCUCAGAAUGUUUGCAGCCAAGGUUUAGCUCCUUCGCUAUUAGCUUAGGAUGCUGUUCGCUUUAACCUUGAUUUCUAUCUUCCUAAUCUGUCAUACACAUGGCGGGGGAGGGGCAUCUUUCAAGACUUUUUUCUGAUGACACUUGAAACGUAUUUCUUUUUUUCUUAAAUAUUAUUUUUAUGCGCAUGUACCUGCAUGAAUUUAUGGGCACCGCGUGUAUGUGGGAGGUACCCACGGAGGGAGGCAAGAAGAAGGAGUUAGGUUCUCUGGAACUACCCUGAGCCAUCAUGUAGGCAAUGGAGACCCAAGGUGGGUCCUCUACAAGAGCAGUGGGUGCUUUUAACCACUGUGCCAUCCCUCCAGCCCCAUCCUUUGCAUGCACUUCCACUGCAUUGCUUAACCCAUGGUGAUGUCGGCUCACAGGUAAAGGAGCUUGCUACCCAGCCUGAUCCCUGGAGCCCACGUGGCGGAAGGUGAGAACUGACCACAGCUGCGUCGUCACAUGGUGCAGAUUCUAGGAGACCCUCUUCCCUGCUGUAGGUACCCAAAUCUGCCGGUACUUAUUCAAAAUGAUGCAGCGUUUGCUUAGAACCUGUUAUACACACCUGCCUAUGUGCUUUAAACAAGCUCUGGACCACUUGCCAUACCUGACACAAAGUAAAGGCCAUGGGAAUAACUGUUAUGCUGUACUGCUUAGGGAAUCCCUGGAGAGAAAAUGUGUGACGUGUUCAGUAAAGGCACAUGUUCCCAACCCUUAUUCUUUUAAUUUUUAAUUCCCAUGCUUCCGUGUGUGUGUGUGUGUGUGUGUGUGUGUGUGUGUGUGUGUGUGUUUUCAUGUGUGCAUGUGUGGAUGUCUGAAGAUAACUGUUUGGAGUUUGUUCUCUGUUUUUUACCAAGUGGGUCCCAGGGAUCAAACACAGGUUGCCAGUCUUUAUCCAUUGAGCCAGAUCUCAAAUAUUUUUGAUACAAGAUUUUGUUGAAUCUGUGGCUUUAGAACCUUUAGAUAUGGAGGGCAGACUGUGUGUUGACUGGUUAACUUUUCUUCAUCACUAAUGUUUAGCACAGCAUGCUUGACACAUAGUAGGGCCACAUGUGAUGCUUACUGCAAAACUAGUGUGGCUCAGUAAGGUCUGGAAAAAGAAAGAAGAGAUUCUCUGAGGUAAACUGUGUACCGUGCCACCUUCCUAGAGGACGUCUUUGGACAGAAUUAGCCACCUGCAUUUCUCUAUUCUCCAAAGGUUGGAUUUGCUUCCCCCAAUUUCUGGGAGACUGGAAAGUGAAUCAGGACUGAUUUUCCUGGUGGGCAUACUUACAUAUGUAAGCCAGCACCUGGCUGCUUCUUUGAGAGCUAUAUAAGGUCAGCAGAAGUCAUCUGUCUAGCUGACAGACAUGCUCAGAGGACCUGGGAACCCAUCAGAUCAACUCCCAUUGCCCUGGUAGAACGUGUCAGCUACAUGGCCAGGCUCCUAGAAGUAUCCCCCUAUUCCAAUUCUAAUCAUCGCUGAGACUGCACAUUGAUGUCUUUACUCAGAAGUCAACAUAAGUCACCUUGGAAGCAAAUGGAGAAUUUGCACACCCAGGUUUCCCAGCAGCUACUUCUCUAAGACAAAAGUUUGCUUCCACAAGUUUCUACCAAAGCAUGGGUAUAGAAACUGUCAUUGAACUUUGGUGGUUAUCAGUAAGUCCUUAACAGUUUCCUUACAGUUUUUCUUCCCAAGGUAAUUUCUUUCUUUGAAGAAAAUGAUAGCACUCUUAGGACAAGGGCUAGUUUAGAAUAACUUAUUCAUGAUGUCUGUUACAUUUCAACUAAAAAGCAAAAUAAAACCCAAGUCAUUUUGUAACCUACUAUGUGCCCUUUAAGGAAAAGAGUCCCUGAGUCUCUCUACAAAAUAAAAUGAUCUUAUUUUGAGUCACAAUAGUCUAGGUCGUUUGCACUGACUAUGCCUCCUUCUGUGCCUAUGUGCCGAUGCUCAAGAGUAAAGUUAUCUAUGAUUUGUCUCCUAAAACUGUGGAAGACUAGAGCUAAGAGAGGAACUUCUGCUGUAAGACAGAAGCUUCUCGAAUCAUUUGAUGGACUUUUGUUUAAUUUCUCUUCUUGAGAAGAAGGCUGGUCAUAUCUCAGCUGCACCUAGGAAGGGGGCGGAGGGAGAUGGAGAUGGGGAGGGGAAGAACGAGGGGGGAGAAGGAGCAGGAAGCAGGGUGAGGCAUUACCCCCUCAAAGCCCAUCCACAGGGAUGUACUUCCUCCAUCAAGACUGCACUACCUAAAGGUUCUAUAACUUCCUCAAAAGGCAACAUCAGUGGGGACCAAGUGUUCAGGUACAAGAGCCUCUGGGAGAUGUUUCUCGUUCAAACCACCACAGCACUCAAAUUGCUUAGGAAACCCAGGGUCCAGUCUUAGCCCAAAGGUCUGUGAUCAAUGAAAACGGCAUGGCUUGUUUCUGUGUGUGUGAGCCAGGCCCUUUCCUAUUACAGCACGCUCAGCACACAGCUUUCGCAAGGUGGCUCACACACAGCCCCUCAUGCCUGAAGCAUUAAAUGCCUAAAUAACUCGGCAGUGAAGGAGUGAGUUUGCCUCUUGGCCUCCGUCCAAGCUGUUGAUUUGUGCACAAAUUUGGAGACAGCUUUUCUGGAAGGCAUCGCUUCCGUCCACGGGGGAGCAGUUUCUGACUCUGCCAUGCUCUCUGCUCGGAGUCAAAUGCAUUACACACCCAGUGCGGGGUCCUCACUAAAUGUCUUUCCGUGUUUUCAAUAUUCAGACAGACAUGUUCAUGCUCUGGAGAAACUUCUCCAUCAAGGACCCUCUUUCAUCCCCAGGCUACCCCUCUUCCUCUCAACAGCAUGCAUUUUCCGGUUAAGCUAAUUCUGUGACACAUGAACAAAAAGAUGACUCUGAUUGGAGCUGGCACAUGGACUGUAGGUUUCUUGAGUGACAGGCCUUCCCAGGUUUUCAUAGUAUCAAUCAUGGUGUAUAAUUGAUGAUGUAGAUGCAAUCUCUUGACUCACUGGACUGAGAACUUCUGGGGAGCAAGAAUUAUGCCUCCUCGAUCAUUUCCUGGGACAGACACCAAGGUAAUGUCCCUUUCCACAAACAACACUCAGCACAAGGUGGGGCGAUCGAGUUAUGUUUGAGCCUGUGACCUCCGAAGUCCCCUGUAUCAGAAGCUUAGGUAGCAGCCUGUGAUGCUGUGUGGAGGUGGAGGAACCUGUGGAGAGUGAGGAGGAAGGGGUUUCACUGGGAGUCUUAAAGGAGAUCUGGGACCUCAGAUGCUGUCCCUGAUGCUUUCUGGCUACCAGGAGGUGAGCAGCUUGCCCCAACAUUAGUUCCUACCAUGAUGUUCGGUCCCGUCACAAGCCCCAAAGUAAUGGCCAUUGCUGAAACCUUGAGCUGUGGGCUAAGUAAAGCAACCUUUCAUCUUUAUAAGUUGAUUGCUUGGGUAUUUUGUCACAGUGGCAGAAGACCAUGUAAUACAGCAGUUAAUCGCCCUACGGUACAUUGAUCUAACCCUGACUUAGGGGCGAGCUGCAGCAUUGGAAGGGAAUGUGGUACGUUGUACACUGGCCUCCUGGGAACAAACAAUAUCUACAUCAUAACCCCUUGAAUUUCUGAACAUGUAACCUUAUGUAGGAAAAGAAACCUGGCAGAGGUAAUCAAUUUAGAGAUUCCAUAAUAUAAGAUCUGGAUUAACUGGGUGGUUCCUAAAUCCAACAACAAAUGUCUCUGCAGAUACAGAUGAACAUAGAGAGAAGAAGAGGUCACAGCAGAGCAAUGGAUCUCAACCUCCCUAACGCUGCAACCCUUGAAUACAGUUCCUCAUGUCAUGGUGACCCCUGAGGAAAGGUCAUUCAUCCCCAAAGAGGUCUCAACCCACAGGUUGAGAACUACUGGAGUAGAAUGAUGCAGACACAAGCUGAGACUUACAGGAGCUUCCUGAUGCCAGGUAAGACAAGGAAGGACUCUCCUCUAGAGCCUCCAGAAGAAAGUCUCACACCUAGACUUCAGACUUGAGGAUAUUGGAACUUGAAGAAUCCAAAUUUCUACUGUUUUAAAUCCCCAAGUUUAUGUUAAUGAGUUACAACAGCUGCAGGAGAUGAACAUAGAACAUAACUUGCUUUCAAGAAAUCCGUGAAAGCCAGGCAUGUUGGCUUGCAUCUCUAACCCCAGCAAUCUGGAGUCAGAGGCAGGUGGAUCUCCAUGAGUUCAAGGCUAGUCUGGUCUAUAUAGUGAGCCAGGGCUGUAUCGGGAGACUUUAUCUCAGUCAACCAACCAACCAAAUCCAUGAAAACCAACGACUGAAUUUACCUCCUGACCUCUGAGAGCCAAGCUGAAGGAGCUCUGUUGAGAGUCCACUCAGAGCAUGGAUUGUACUGUCGAGAAGGGAUGGCUCUUAAGCUAGAGGGUCGGGAGCAGCAAGGACUUACAGUCCUCCACAAUUGUGUGAUGUAGACCUGCAGCACAUGCUGUAGUAUGCAUGCGAACAGAUUACUCCAGGGCUUUCCACUUGGGGACAGAAGAGCACUUCAGAGAGGGAAGUGGGAACACAGAGGACUAUCCUUUCACAAGAUAGGCCUUUGAGAACCCAACGUUUGACAUUUUCAAGGGUUAAAAGAGAAAGGCUUUCUCCUCCCAGUCCAGGAAUAGUCAGCAAGUGGAUUGGCCCAGUUGCUUCUGGAAUAUCUUGUGCUGCUGCCUCAGCCUGGGAUCCCUUCGCCUCUCGGGGCAACUCAGUCCGUGCAGGUCGUCACAGCGAGGGUAGCAGGGAAAAGCUUGCCAGGAAGAUGGGACAUAGCAGCCUGCCAAAGCAAGAGCAUUACAUCCAAAUGCUUGUUCAGGAUGAGGAAGAGAUCCAUGCUCUAAUAUCAGGGUUGGAUAUGAGCUGCUCAGUAGCUUGCCUAUGCUAAGAUGCUUAUACCAGAAGAUGCAAACGUCAUAUUUUUUGUCUGUCCUUGACACACACACACACACACACACACACACACACACACACACACACUACAUUAGACGUGAAAGUUGGAGGCUGCUUGCCCCUCUCGUCUUUCAGUAAAAAAGGAAAGUUGCUGGUAAUCAGGCUCAAAGAAAGAAGGUAGACUUGCUGAUGAGCAGAAUGUGAUGAUGAGCCCUUCACAGGGUCAAGCCAGCCUGAGAGAAGGUGACAGGAAGCCAUCAUCUAGUCACCAGCACCCCUGCUGCCAAAGACCUGCUUUACUGAGAAGUGGGCAAGAACGGGAGAGUGCCUGUGGUCUCACCUACUUAAAUUUCAUACUUGAAGAGGAUGGAUGGAGCUAAGCGAAUUUAAUUUAAUCAUAACACUGACAGCUGGCUGAAUGAAACGGAAGGUAUUUAUGUAGCUUAAAAUCCGUUUAUAGCUCUCAUCCAUCCUUUUUUUUCUUUUUCUUUUUUUUUUUUCUGAGACAGACUCAGUACAUCGUCUAUGCAAGGCUAAAACACAUGAUCCUCUUGCCUCUUCCUAGGUACUGCAGGUGUGUAUUAUUAGGCCUAAUGAUUCCCCCUCUCCCUAUCUUCCUUUCUCCCACUCCACAACUGUGUGUACAUAUUCAUGCAUGCAAAUGCAUGCAUGUGGAGGUCAGAGGUCAGCAAUGCUGGGUGUCUUGCUCAGUCCUUUGCUCCCUUAUGUUUAUGAACCAGGACUCGCAGUGUCAGCUAGGCUGGCUGGCCCGUGCAUCACGGGGACCCUCCCAUCUCUACUUUUCCAGUCAGAAUGACAGGGAUGCAUGGGCAUAUCGAGCUGGUUGGAUUCUGGAGAGUGGAAUUCGGUCCCCAUCCUUGUGUGACCAUUACACAAAGCCAUCUCUCCAAACCCCACCGUUUACUUCUUCAACAUCCAUUUAUUGAAUGCCCACAUCGUACCAUGUUAUAAUUAUGCCUACAAUUAAGUAGUCCCUUUCUUAUACCCCAUUAUGUGAUACCAUAUAUUAAUGUAUUUUGAGUAACGGGGUGUGUUUGGGUGUUAAAAAUGUCUCUCAUAGGCUCCUGUAGUUGAACAUUUGGUUCCUAGCUGUUGGCUCUGUUUUGCAAGGUUGUGGACUCUUUAGGAGCUGGUCUCUCCUCAGAGGAAGUGGGUCAUUGAGCACAGGCCUUGGGGUUUAUAGUCUGGCCUGCCUGUUCUCUGCUUUCUGUUCUGUCAAGCUGUGAGGUGAAGACUCCCAGCUGCACAUUCCUGCCACACAGGGCCACCUGCCACCAUGCCUUUACCGUGGAUCAUAUCCUUCUAAAACUAUUGACCAAAUUAAACCCUUCUUCUCUUAAGUUGCUUCUUGUUAGGUAUUUGGUCACAGUAAGGAGAAAAGUGAUGAAUACAGAAGGAUGUCAGCACUCACCAUUCAUUUGUUCAUUCAUUCAUCCAUCCAUCCACCCACCCACCAACUGCCCCUUUAAUGGCCAUACUAUGCCGGGCUAUAAUCAGGCAUGGCUUUCUUAGGAUUAUACUCACUGUGUGUUUUCAUCCUAGUUUGCCUUUGGCCUCUAUGAUAAAGACUGUGACCAAAAGCAUCUCGAGGAGAAAAGGCUUCAUUUAGUUUAUAUGUCCUGAUCACAGUCCAUCAUCAAGAGAGGCCAAGGUAAGAACUCAAGCAAAACAGGAACCUGGAGGCAGGAACUGAGGCAGAGAACAUGGAGGAACGCUGCUAACUGGCUUCCUCUCCACAGCUUAGUCAGUCUGCUUUCUUUUAUUUUUUUUCUUUUUUUUUUUUUCGGAGCUGGGGACCGAACCCAGGGCCUUGCGCUUGCUAGGCAAGCGCUCUACCACUGAGUUAAAUCCCCAACCCCUCAGUCUGCUUUCUUAUACCACCCAGAUCCACCUGCCCAGAACAGCACUCACCACAGUGCACUGGGCCCUCUUACAUCAAUUACCAACCAAGAAAACGUCCCACAGACUUGCCUACGGGCCAUUGUGAUGGAGGCAUUUUCUCAGUUGAGGGUCUCUCUUCUCAGGUGACUCUUGCUUGUGUCACAUUGACAAAACAUCACCAGUACACGUGUCCCAUCGCAUGCUAUGCUGUUGUUUUAUGUCCUAGUUUGUUGGCUGUUGGUUUAGGAGGGAGUGCAAUAGAAUCAUUUCACAUCAGCUUUGGGUGAGGGGAGCUUACCGCAGUCCAAAUGUGAUCCACCCAAUAACCAGAAAGCAAACACAGAGUCUUGGGAUGACCGGAGACCUUGGAAGUGAGCUAACAAAGGACUUAGAAAUGAAGUGACACCUGUGACAUGAUUCAGUUAAGACGUGGCACGGCAAGGAGGGUACUUCAUGUCCCACACCCCACAGACAAGGCUGCCAACGUUUCAUGUCCAUCUCUCUGCAACGAGACAUAGCUGACCCUGGGAUGAGGCUGGGGCAGAGGACAUUCUGGUGUUCUGCUUUCCUCAGCCACUCACCCUGCUGAUGGAGGAGGCAUGGCUCUUCUCUGUGACCUUCAUGCAAAUAAAGAUAAAGGUCAAUCUGUGCUUCCUCCCCACCUACCUAUUUCCUUACCUUCCUUUUGAUACUUAUGUUUGGUUUUGAAGAUGGUGUCUUGCUAUAUAGCCUAGGCUAGCCUUGAAUUCAAUACAUAGCCCAGGUUAGCUCCAAUCCCAUGAGCCUUUACCUCAGCUUCCCUAGCUCUGAGUUUGUCUUUCUUUCUCAUUGUUACAUCAUCUUGUCAAGAAUAGGAAUGGUUUCUCUUUUCUUUGCACAGUGAAAGCCUGGCUUGGAACUUGGCACGGAGCCUGGUACAUGAGAACCACUUAUCGCAUCAUAGCUGAAUGCAGAUCUCUAAACGAGAGCUUCAUGGCUUACGUAGGCUGGCCACAGCUGGGAUCUCCGCUGAUCUCAGGUGACAGGAGGUGGGUGAUGCUGAGAGAGCUGUAGUAGGCACAAAGUCUAGGUAAGGGUGGGGGUUGUAUAUGUCCAUGUUGGUCCUGGCAGGGGGAUCCUAGGUCUAUCAUAAACCUGAGUUGAUUGAGUUGUUUGUUUACCUGUGACGGAAGAUGACCAUCCCUUCUUCUGCUUUGAGAUAUUGUCUUCGAACUGGGAGAUCAACAUCGGGAAGUUCCUGUGGGACCUUAGUGGACUUACCCCUCUCUGGUCCCUGAGCAGUGUAUGGGGACAGGACUUCACAACAUGAGGGUGUGGGUCGGAAUAGUGGGUGGCAGCCUCGAUAAGUGAUCGCCCUUUCUAAGUUGCUGUCUGCACUGCUCUUCUCUGAGAGCAGAUUCGAUACAGAGAAGAGGCUCACAAAGUCAGCCUCACUCCUGAGUCUAUUUACCGAGAAUUACCCAGAGGGGAGAACAUUGGGCGAAUUGGACUCAGGAUUUAUUCUUCCCUUUUUUCUUCCCAAUUCUUUCAUUUUCUUUUCCCUUUGAGACUCAUAUAGCCCAGGCUGGCCUUGAACCUGCUUUGCAGUUAAGGAUGGCCCUGAACUCUUAAUCCUGCUGUCUCUACCUUCUGAGUGCUGGAUUUACAGGAAUGUGCCACUGUCGUGGAAAAGCCAUUUCCAGUCCCUUUCGUUAGAGUGCUUCGGAAUAAGAGAAGUCGGAUAAAAGGAGGCAGAGACCACCCUACCUCUUUUCUAGUUCAAGCCCCUAAUUGCAUGAUCAGUGACUGACCCUUAAAGCUUUCUUUCACUUCUCUGGGUUGUAAUUUCGUCAUCUCUUAACCUAGCACCAGAGAUCGUGACAUAUUUUUAUUUCACUGUUUCUCGGCAGACAUAUGGAGAAAGUACAAUUUUACAUGCAAGUAUAAAGAGUUUUGCCUUUCAGCCCCCCCCCCCCCCCCAGGCCUGUGCGCAUUUGCUGGUGACACAUUAUUUGUCAUCGUUCUCUUAGCCCUAUGCCAUUGAGGGGCUUCUUUCUGAAGGGACGGGGUAAUAAAUGGUGAUACGCGAUAGCUAAAGUGGAGAUAUUUGUCACAGAGCUGUGCGGCUGCUCCCAGGGCUUACCUUUUUCCCCAGUUGCAGGAGCCAGGAGCCCAGAUUUCCGACUUCAGAGAUGCCUGUGCUUUAAUUAUAAAGCCAAUGAAAAUCAAACACUACCUUCUAACGUUGGAGUUAGAUGUGAAUUGAGUUAAUUCAUUCUACAGUGCGAAUAACUGAUAGCAGACCCUUAGCCUAAAGCAGAACAGAGAGUGCGAUGAGAGCCAGAGAAGCAGCCCUGUGGGGAAGAAGGGAUAAUGCCACAGAAGGAGAGAAAAAUGGCGCCUCCAGGAGUAAAUCCCUCCUUUUUCUCUCCUGAGGCCAACCAGAAACCAGAUACAAGGUCUCGGUGCAGACUAUCCCAGACUCCCUCGUGACUCAGGGUAAUUUUCAACACCAGGACAGGACUACAAAGGUCAGACGAGACUGCCAAGGCCACGCCCAGAGUCUGGAACAGCAGUUCUCAACCUGUGGGUUUGCAAACCUCCAUCUUCAAAAAUAUUUACAUUACAAUUUGUAACAGUAGCAAAGUUACAGUUCUGAAGUAGCGACGAAAUUAAUUUUAUGGUGGGGGGGGUGUCACCAUAGCAUGAGGAAGGGUGAGAACCACUGCUCUAGAGGGGUUAUUUUUUAAUGCAAAAAAUUGUGGGGGGAGCUACGAAACAUUUUACUAUAGAGCACGAACAUGUAUACAGUCUAGCAUAAACCAUGCAAAGAGAAAAAAAAAAAAAAACUUCAAUUCUAAAAUCUCGUCCUCAGUUCCACAAAUUUAACGGCAUAAAGCACCCUUCCCACUCCCCAAGUAAAAGAUUUCAAGAUGGCACCCAGGGCAGACUACCGGGGGUAGCUUGCAAAACUAGCAGCUGUGUUCGUUCUGAGCCGAGUUUAUGUGAGGGAAGGGGGCUUGGGAGACUUGCCCUUCCCGCCUCGUCUUAAGUCUUGAGGAAUAAUGCUUCCCUGAAGAAUCGGCUUGCUUUAUCCAGCUCAGAAGUGGGUUUGGAAUCAGUUGCACCCAGCCUAACAGCGAUCUGAGCAGCUGUGUGUAUGCACGUGCAGUAGCUGGAGUGCACGCGUGAGCACGUGUUCGAACCUGCACGCAAACUGGGAACGGCGUGGGCUGUGCGAAGCCUGCGCUCUUGUUUCCAUCUCUGACUUGCAAAUGAAGCCUGUUUUCAAAACUCAGUCAGCCUGUGGGAGUGAGAGCCAGAAGAUCCGAGGGAGUUUUUCCCACAAUGCCUGCUGGGCCCCCGGAAGAAACAAACCUGGUGGUGCAUACGGCGCGCGCGCGCGCGCGCGCGGGGAAGCCCAUCUCCAGGUGAGGCCGAUAAGGGUGAUAAAUACCAUUUGCUGGCACGGGUUCCUAGGACAGAGCUGGCCACAGGAGUCGAGGUCCCCAGGACGUGAGGACCCCUUACAAAGCAGGCAUUUAUGAACUGGUUUGCUCUCCACUAAUUAAUUCCCCAGCCAUUCACCAACAGUAACAAUCCCUUCAAUUAGAGGCCGGGGCCCUGGAAAGCCCUGGUGUUUAUUGGAACUGACAUCUGCAUGGCCAAGUGUGACUGUGCUAAUACGGAAAUGCACAAAGGGAGCCAGAGUCCUCCCCCCAACUCCUGUAACUUUUAAGCAAGGAUUUGGCUCUUUAAGGAGUUUUUAAUUUGUGGCUUUGCACUUUGGUGGUUAGCUUGUCAGCGCGUUGCAUCUGCUUCUCCUCCGUGGGCUCUGAUGUUGCCCUGUUCUGGGUUCUGUCAUGAGCUCAUGAAAGGGACCUCAGACACCCUAGGGACAGAGCCUCAGGAACUAGAGUUAAAGUCUCCUGUGAGCUGCCAUGUAGGUGCUGGUAACCAAGUGUGUGUCCUCUUUGCGAGCAGAAAGUGCUUGACAGCUGAGCGGUCUCUUCAGCCCUGGCUGUUGUUGUUGUUGUUGCUGUUGGCGAUUUGUUUGUUUCCUGGUAUUUUUAGGAAGUUGACUCUCACAAUUACCCUAUCCUGGGUAGACACCAGGCUAGAUGGUACCAGACUGAUUAAAGGAGUACACUCUUGACCACUGGGAAAGAGGAUUAAACAUGAGCAAAUUCACAGAUCUCUCUGCAAGGCAAGAUUAAGACAGGCUGGUGCUAAGAGGAAGCCAGGGAUAAGAGGGCAGGGAUCCAGGGGAGAUGCAGGCAGCUGGCUUGGGCCAGCUUUGUGGAAACCUUGGCUUCCACAGGCAUUCACUAGGGGUCCAGAAAGCCAGUCUGGACACAGAAAGGGACCGGGUCAUCUGAGGGCACACACUCUGAGGUGAGGGAGGAACUCACUGUGAGGCAGAGCAUAGAUUUGUCCUAUGUAAGAGGAUAGAGCUGAUCAUUUAAGGCUUGGCUGACCAGAGCAUUGAAUCUGCAAUAAUUUAGGCAGAUGGAGACCAGUGGGAUGUGGAAGUUACCUCAGGAGAAGCAGGUAAGACAAUGAGGUAAGCAAGGGGAACUAGGGCAUACAACUUAAGGCUCUGCCUUGUCUUGCCCUUGUAGGACACAACGGUGGUUUGGAUAUGAUUUGAGGAUGUUCCCCAAAGUUUUGUGUGCUGACAGCUUGACCCUCAGUGCAAUAGACCUUUCAGAGAUGGGAUCUAGUGGGAGGUAACCAGGUCACUGGGGCACUACCCUAGGAAGAGAUUGAUGUAGUUCUCUUAGGGCUUAGUUACUUUCCCCAAGAGUGGAUGGUUGUAAAGCAGUGAGCCUCACAGGAACUCUCUUGCCUGUUGUUUUGCCACCAUCUGCCUCGCACACAUUCCCAUCGAGACACCACCUUCAUGCUGUGGUGUAGGCAGCCACUGUCACCCCUUUCAGCCCCCAAAGCUAUGAGAAAAGUAAAGCUCUUUACAUGUGCAUUCCUUGACCUUGGUGUUUUGUCAUAGUAACAUCGAACAGGCUCAAGAGGGCUCUGAGAGCAAGGUCCCCUUUCUGCAGUCCCAUCUCAGGCCAGGAAGGAGCUAAGCAGGGGACAGCAGCUUUGUGGUUAGAGUCGAGUGUUGAAAAGAUGGCGAAAGCUUUAUGGAGGACAGACCAGAAAAGGGAGGGCUCAGAUGCUAGUUUAGUUAGGAAUGUACUUGUCUCGUAGGCAUGGAGAUCUGAAUCUAGUCCCCAACACCCACAGUAAAAUUCGUGGGGCGUGAUGAUAUGCACUUGUAAUCCCAGCCCUGGGGAGGCAGAGACAGGGAGAUCCUGGGCUCACUGGCCACUGGUCUUACCUACUUGGUCAGUUACAGACCAGAGAGAGACUCUGUCUCAAAACCAAACCAAACAAGCAAAUAACAAGACAAAACCCAACAUUGACAGCUCCCAAGAGGGUCUUCUACUCUUUAUGUACGUAUGCAUUAUCUUAUGCAUGUGCCCCUGCACACAUAUACACACACAUAGUCUCAUGCUCACACAUGCACAUACUCACACAUACACUCACGUACAUACUCACACACACUCUCACAUACACAUACAUACAUAAUCACACACAGUCACAUGCACAUACUCACAGUCACACAUGCACGUACGUACACACACUCACACAUAUACACACUCACACAUACACUCACAUACACACAUACACACUCACAUACACAUACACACAUAAGUACACACGAUCACAUACACACUCACACUCACACAUAUACUCAUUCACACAUACUCUUAUACACACUCACGAUACACUCACAUACACACACUCUCACAUACAACCACACACAUUCACACUCACACAUAAACUCACACACACAAACAUACACACACAUACACAUACACACUCAGACACACAUACAUACGCUCCCCCCCACAAUACACAUACACAUCUACUCACACACACACACACACACACACACACACACACUCACAUGCACAUAACAUAUAUACACACACAUUCAAAGAACAUGCAUGGGGUUAUACACAGAGUUAGUACAGAGAGAGAGGGUGCUAGCCCCAGACAGGACGGUUUGAAGGGCUUUAAAGGCAGUAAGCCACCCGAUGGUUGAUGAACAUGGAGCCCUGGAUGUGGAAGUUUAGUUCAUCCCAGCUCUCCCAGCAUAAGGACCUCGUUACAAUAGACAGUCUGCGUGUAUUUUAAGAUCCUGUGUAACACAGGAUGCAUGUUAACACCAGCUGACCUAGAGAAGGGACCUCAGGCUCUGGGGACCUCAACCUAGUCCUAGACAACUCCCCAGGGGCACCAGGCUGUGAGUCCCUCUGCCCACACACCCAUCUUUCCCUGUUUCCUUUUAAGAGGCUUCCAGAACAUGUAUUUCUCGGAUCCUCCUUGAAGCCCGAGAACUCAACUUUUUGGGUUCAAUUUCACUUCGUCUUCCUAUUGUAUCUUGCAUUGCCCAACACCCCAGCCUGGCCCUCUCAUUCCCUUCUGUCUCCCUCUGGCACUCAUGUCAUUAACAAAACUCCCCAGACCCUUGCAAAGCCCCUACAGCAGAACUGUCCCAGGAGACAAAUGAUGGAUUUAAUAAGCUUCCCCCUAAAUGGCCUCAAUCCCUUCCAGUUGAUUAGGGGGAGAAAACAACCUCGGACUGCAGGACAGUUCCCGGGCAGGAGGUGAGGGAGGGAGAAGAAAGAAAGUCUCCCAGAUCCCGGGCCUCAGGGACCAAAUUAAGAAAGCGGCACCAUUUAUUCAAAAUCAGAUGAAUGUCAGCGGAAUGUUUGUCAAACAAACUUGUCAUUAUUUGUCACAAUUUGAGGACGUACCCGUCAGUCGUCACACUGGAGCGUGUAACAGCUAUUUAUAGCUGCCAGCCGAGAGUUUUAACUCAUGCGGGGCCAAGGCGCCACGCGGCACAAACAGAUUUAUUUAUAAUGAUUGCGCGGCUAUAAAUAGUUUGGUUCGGCAAGCGUCGAAGAACGGCUCUGGAACGUUCUGCCAGUGCCAGCAGCAGGAGGGCUGACAGCGGGGAGAUGAAUCCUGGGUUUUUUUGUUUGUUUGUUUGUUUUGUUUUGUUUCGUUUCUCUUCUUCUUCCGGGACUCUUUCUGUAUGUUCUUGGUCAGGGCACACACCCUUUCCUCAAUGUCCCCUUUUGGAAGGGGAGCCGUUUCCAGGAGACCAUAGAAGUUACUCACUUAAUUAACAUCUGCCCGGAGAUCUUGCCUUGAAAGGGAGCCCAGUGCGGGGCAUUGCGCCCUUUGUGCCCAUUGGCGGACAAUGAACUAAUUACAGUCUCUUUUCUCCCGCAGGGUGGGGGGGCGGGGAGCGCGUUAUCCUGUUAUUCCAGGGAGCAGGCAACUCUCCAAAGGCUUGUUUAUAGCUUCAGAUUUAAUUUGAACGGCAGCGUCCUCUCUUCCAAAAUAAGAGGUUAUCAGCAAUGUACUAGUUUCUUAUGUCAGCAGGACCCCAGCCAAGGAGCAAAGGGGGGAGGGGGGCGCGCAGGGGGAGGGGCCGAGGAGAGGGGCGGGAACACGUAUGAAUAAACUGAACACCAAAACCACAUAGGUACCUCAGUGUAAAAUCCGAUCAUUAUAGCAUCUGGCACAGGGGCAAUAGCUGUCCGCUAGUCAGCCUCCGCCCCUGCCCUCAAGAAUACACGCCCAUUUAUCACAUUGAAAAGGCAGGUUUCAUACCUCUUCCCAAUUCCGUCUGCCAAAGCCGUAGACUCAGCUUUUCACGCAGCUGGUCUCAAUUUUAUUUUGCGAUUUUUUUCUUUUCUUUUCUUUCUUUCUUUCUUUCUUUCUUUUUUUUUUUUUAAGAGAAAAGGUAUGUCCAUGAAAAAAGAAUUUAUUGGAUCUUAAUUUGCAAGAUUAGUUCUGGUUCGUUUUAUUGCUGUAAUUUAAUACUCAUAAUGAUUUUCUGACACAUAUGUUUUAGCAGCAAGAUCUACCUCCUGUUCAUUUUUCAUUUCGAUACAGCUCGAGUAGAUUAGGCUGGAUGGCACGCGUCAGGGAGUGUGGCAACCCCGCGAGAAACUGGCAUCAAACUGCUGCUGCUGCUGCUCCAAGCUGGCAGUGAGGCUCAGCUGGGCACAGGGGACCGGGAGGCAGAAGCAAGAAGCCCAACUUGAAGAGCCAUUGCUUUGUUUGUAUUUCCAGUCACAUUUCUGUCUCAACUUACAUCAUCGUCGUCGUCGUCGUCGUCAUCAUCAUCAUCAUCACUACUGUAAUUAGUCGGGCCCUAUCCAAUCAAAAGCUGCAGCAUCACCUCUGUUAGUGGUAUAGGUUAUGGGCACAAACCGAGAGUUUGGUUCUCUGGAUGUCAAAGAAGGGAAGGCUCUGGAAGUUUCUGCCAAAGGCAGUGUCAGGGCAAGUAGACAUCAGUAGCAGAGAGGUGAAUCCUGUAAGCGUUUGUCUCUUCCCUGGAACCCUCAGUGCUGCAGGACCCAGAGCAUGAUCUGCCCGCUCUGAGCCUAGUGUGGGGGGUCCCCAUUCUGCGACAAUUAAAUUCCCUACCUGAAUCCCCUUUUGUUUCUGCACAGACACCUUCUGCCAUAUGUAGCAGGCUGUCUUAGUUAGGGUUCUUUUGCUGGGAAGAGACACCAUGGCCAUAGCAACUCUUCUAAAGAAAGAACAUUUAAUUGGGACUGGCUAACAGUUUCGGGAGUUUAGUCCAUUUUUGUCAUGGUGGGGAGCAUGGUGGUUCACAGGCAGACAUGGUGCUAGAGAGGUAGAUGAGACUUCUCCAUCUUGAUCUGCAGGCAGCAAGAAGAGAAUCGGCUUGAGUUUCUGAGACCCCAAAGCUUACCUGCUAGGGAUGCACGUCCUCCAAAAAAGCCACACCUAGUCCAACAAGGGCACACCUCCUAACAGUGCCAUUCCCUAUGGGUCAAAUCACCAUACAGGCUCUCUUGGUAAAUACUCGUAGAGUCAAGGCAGGAUUCCCUUCUAAUGGAAUUUGACAGUCUCUCUGGGAGCUUAAGUCAUACAUUUGCAAGAAUGUGCAGAUGAAGGUAUAACUCGGUGAAAAUGACUUGAACAGGAAAUUAAGUUAGGGAAUCCGGAGCUCAUCGUGAAGAAUGUACUGGGGCUCCUAAUCAAACAAACCCCGAGUCUGGUAUAAGGUGAUGACAGAGGUACCCAAGGCCAACGUACAGGAAACGCAAGGGCGUAAUGCAAACCGAGUUGGGUGGCCAGGUGGGCAACUCCUUGUUUAUUAUCAGAGAAGCCGUCACCAUAUCAGCUACUAAGGCUAAUCUAACCUGUUACGAGUCCACCUCACAGGAAGCCAAGCAGGACAGACUGUGUUCAGACAGACAGACGCUAUGCCAGGGUUCCCCUUCAUCCUCUUCCAUUUCCACUCAGACUUUGUGAAGACUUCGUACUGUUAUUAAGAUAAUUUUCAUCCUUCCCUCCUCCCUUCUCUGUUUUUAAAAAGAGGGGCUCUCAAUGUUUAAAAUAGGAUAGAUAUUUCCAUACCGCUGAUACCACAUUCAUGUUAAUUCAAGUAAUUUCAUGGAGGCAUCCCAGGACUAGAGAUGUGCUUAGUUAGGGACAGCACCACUAAUCUGUGCUGUACAGGAUUUCAAUCUGAUGGCAAGUGCUUUCACUGAUUCCUGCCCCUGCGUCAUGUCACCUCCCCCUUCUCCCCCACUGCCCAGCUGAGCAAGGCGCACCGUGAACGCGUGAGCAGCUGAGCGUCUUUUUGAGGUAGCUGUUAGGGUUUUUCCCACUAUUUCUCUUCUCAGCAGAGAAGGAAACAGAGCCUGAGUGUCUCAAAGGCUUUCUCGGUUGGAGUUUCAAGAGACAGAGUUGGAAAAGAACUAUUGUCUCUUUCCUCACAACAAAAAAACCAAACAAACAAAACCAAAAAAAAAAAAAAAUCUUAAUACUUGCUAACAAUGGGUGUAUGUGCCCUCAGGAGGGUUCAGCAUGGUGGCUCAGGUGAAUGUUCUGGAGGCAGGAAUAGGGCUCUGGAACGCUUUCUGAAGAGUUUGUCAUAAGCUCUGUCAAGUUUACAUUUUGUAUAGCACCAAUUAAUUAAUAUUAUUAACUUUCUGAAGAGUUUCAGCUUUUUAAAAAAGAUUUAUUUAUUAAUUUUAUGAAUAUGAGUACACUGUCACUGUCUUCAGACACACCAGAAGAGGGCAUCAGACCCCAUUACAGAUGGCUGUGAGCCACCAUGUGGUUGCUGGGAAUUGAACUCAGGUCCUCUGGAAGAGCAGUCAGUGCUCUUAGUCAAUGCGUCAUCUCUCCAGCCCCGAGUUUCAGAUUCUUAACAAUGUUUUUUUUUUUUUUAAUUCUUUCUCCCCCCACCCCCUUGAGAGAAUGUGGGGGGUAGGGAGUUGCGUACAUGUCUUUUUCAUGCAGGUCUCCUUAUUUUUUGAGACGGGGCCUCUCUCUGAACCCAGAAUGCACAGGUUCACCUGGAUUGGCUGGCCCAGUGGAAGAAGAAAAGAUGUGUUUGGUUCAUGCUCUCAGGCCAUGGUUGCUUGGGUCUGAGACCAGGUCAAACAUCAUGGCAGAGGGCGUGACUACACAGUAGAGCAAAGCUGCUCACAUCAUGGCCUCCAGGAAGCAGGCACAGGGGAGGGAGUGGGGAGGAUAUGGUGGCAAGACGCACCCUUGAAAGCACAACUUCCAUGACCUACUUUGUUCAACCAGCCCCUAUCCCCUACUGGUUCCUUCUGCUCUGAUUGAUCCGUUGACUAACCUGCUGAUGAGGUUAGCACACCCAUUACACAAUGCUCUCUCAGUAGUGCCACCAGCUGGGACCAGACACCAUCAUGAGUCUUUUGAUGCUGUCACAGAGGUGGGUCCCACCUGGGAACUCAACUUGCCCCUAUUGGAGGUGAUGCUUGGCACCAGGUGGGAAUCAAGUCCAUCACAGGGACAGCUAGGCUGUCUGGCUGUGAACACAGGCAGGUCGGAUCUAACCAUAGGUACCGGCAUGGGUAGUUGCUACACUGGAGGUUUUGAGUGGAAAUUUGAGAGGGAGCUAUUUAUAGAUUACUUCUGGUAGGUCAGGUGAGUAGAGACUUAGUCUAUUAGAAUCAGGAGCUGUCUGCUGUCUAAUCCCACAGUCCAUAUGACUUCUCAUUCCUAUCCUGGGAAAGAUUACUUGCACGUGAAAUUAUCCCGUUUAAUUCAUCAGCAGCCUGUGAAGUUCUCAGGGAGGCCCCAGCGAGAUUUAAAUCACAUACUUAAAGUCGCACAUCAAAGUGAAGCCUAGCUGGAUAACACACAUCACUGGUUUCAAAUGUCUACAGACACUUCUAGCUCUUACCUCUCAUCUCCUGUGAUUUGCUGCUGGACUAGUAGCUUUGAUUUCCUGUGAGAUAAAUCAUGGCUUCAGUAUGCGUAAAGCAAGAGACCCAAUCUGGUUCUAGGUGGCACAUAUUCCUGCCUUGCCUAAGAUACCACUAGCCUCAAUAUAUGGGCCAGGACUUCAAACUGCUUGUGCCUCAGUUUCUUCAUCUGCAAAAUGGGUGUAUGAGUGAUGUCUUCACCCCUUUGAUUUGCUAUAAUGGAAUGCCAGAGACAGAGUCAUUUAUAAGAAGAAAAAAAAAAUAUAUAUAUAUAUAUCUCAGGAGGCUGGGAGAUCUAAGAGAUCCUCAUAUAUGCUGAGAACUUUCCCACUGCAUUAAUCAUAUGUGCUGUGGUUUAGAAGUAUCCCCACUUAAUAGUACUUUAAUAACUGUUAAGAGAUUUUAAUGGGGGUUGGGGAUUUAGCUCAGUGGUAGAGUGCUUGCCUAGGAAGCGCAAGGCCCUGGGUUCGGUCCCCAGCUCCGAAAAAAAGAACCAAAAAAAAAGAGAGAUUUUAAUGAUUUGAAUGUAAGUUACAAGAGGGGCAUUCAUAGUAACAGGAUAAAGGAUAAAUUGCAAUGUGUAAGUGUUUCUUCUGACAUUAAAAGGCAAAUGCAACAAUGUUAGACUGACUUCUAUAUUUGCUCUCUUCUCUGAUGAUAUUAAAUUAGGGCUGAUUUAUGUUUUAUAAUUAUUAUUUACAUGCUUAUUUUUAAAAUAGUAUUUGUGAAUACAUAUAUUAAAAUAAAUUCUAUCAUUUAAAAAAAAAAGAA